GAUGAACGCUGGCGGCGUGCCUAAUACAUGCAAGUCGAACGGAGACGUUAUAGCAAUAUGAUGUCUUAGUGGCGAACGGGUGAGUAACGCGUUGGUGACCUGCCCCGAAGAGGGGGAUAACAGCUCGAAAGAGCUGCUAAUACCCCAUGUGGUCGUAGAGGUUAGAGGCUUUAUGACUAAAGGAGCAAUCCGCUUCGGGAGGGGCCUGCGUCCCAUCAGCUAGUUGGUAGGGUAACGGCCUACCAAGGCGACGACGGGUAGGGGACCUUAGAGGGUGACCCCCCACACUGGCACUGAAACACGGGCCAGACACCUACGGGUGGCAGCAGUAGGGAAUAUUGCACAAUGGGCGAAAGCCUGAUGCAGCAACGCCGCGUGCGCGAUGAAGGCCUUCGGGUCGUAAAGCGCUUUUUGGGGAGAUGAGGAAGGACAGUAUCCCCGGAAUAAGGUUCGGCUAACUACGUGCCAGCCGCCGCCGUAACAC
rnacentral:rRNA from 1 species